GAGUGACAGAGAAACCAAGGGGCCAGGAGCAGAUGAAAGCCCUGAACCAAGCGUGGCCAAAGCAGGGUGUUGAGGAGGCCAUUCCUGCUUUCUGUUGCCCUGUGUUAGAUCCCUUGAAUCGAGAUGGGGCCUUCUAAUUAUUGUCUCUGGAUCCAUUAUUCAGUACUUUCUAGACAGCAGGAAAGAGAAUUGCCUUCACCAGUAAUAUAGUAUCACACCAGCAGCUAUACUUCAUCCCGCUUCACUUAGACAAGUUCUAAAAGCUCCUUAGAUAAAAUGGCUGGAGAAGACUUCAUCAGUAACGAGGCCUGGAGCUGUUAACGGAAGGAGGAUAACCCACACAUGGUUUGAUCCACAGAACCACCACCUCAGUGGUUUCUCCAAUAUACCAGAGCAGCUGCUGGAGAUUGAGCUGCAAAGUUUUAAUGCUGACGCAGGACAUCACGUUCAGAGGUAGAGCCCUGCACAUGGAGCUGUGGGUGUCACUGGAGACAGCUGGGGACAGAAGGGCUCAGGGGGAGCUGAGGACUGUAAGGAAGAGACAUCUGUUUGCAGAGUAGCAAAGGAAGAAGAAUCUCUAUUGCUUCAACCCCAAGUCCAAUGAACCACACAAUUACAACUUCACUUCCAUUAACUUGAAAUCCACUUGCAACAUUAACCUCAAAAGGAAUAUGUUUAAAAAAA